rnacentral:lncRNA from 1 species
CUAAUAAUAGCUAACAAAAGUAUCAGGUUUAAAAUUUUAGACGCCAGACGUGCGUUUCGUUACAUUUUUACUUGCAUAUGAUACCGUAGUUAAUUUGGCUUUUUAAUCGAACAUUCAUGUCUCUACAGUACAAAAAGAUCUCAUGGGAAACUAUGCUGGUAAAGGCAUUCCACCCAGACAAUUAUGCAAUGUCAUCCCAGACACCAGAUUAAAAAAACAAUCUUAUAUAACUACACGUUGUUCAACCACACAUUAGAAUACGGAACAACUGCAGGAACAAGUGCU